AACUAAAUCCCCCAAAAUUUUGAACACCCGCUUCCUCUUCCUCUCUACUCUCUACACCCGCCAAAUCAACUUCAUUCUCUCCCUUCUUUCUCUCUGCAAACCCCUUCUUCUCCGAUCGACUUUCACUUCCUUCUAUGUGCAAACCCUAAUCAAACAUAACACAUUUGAAAUAGUAAUAUCUUCUUUCAUUUUCUCCCCUACUACUCUCUGUAAAACCUAGCAGCCGCCACCACUAGAAACAUGGAAAAUCCCCCAAAAUUUUGAAGUACCCCGCUCACUCCUCUCAAUAUCUCUUGCGCUUUCGUAUUUAUAGCCAGAGUUGGAGAGCGAAAAGAAGAAAGAAGAAAGAAAUGAUGUGAGGGUGUGAGGUGGCGUUCAAAGGUUGUCAAGGGGCUGUGAGGAGCUAUAGGGCUCAAGUUCGAGGUUGAAGAUUAGAAACCGAAGGUUGAAGAUCAGAUUUGGGAUUAGAUGAGUCGCUGGUACAACUGACGUCGUCGUGGUGUAGGUCGGAUGAGUCGCCGGAGUCCAGGCCAAGUAACAGUGUCGCUGGAGUUUCGGGAAGCUAACGAUGUCAUCAAUUCGAGUGCAGGUGAUGUGCCGAUUAUUGAUUUUGGAUCAAUUACUAACUGUUUGCCAUUUUCUUUCUAGAAAAUCAAUGUAGUGUCUGCUUCUUAAUCUUAUUCUCUAUGAGUACCAUUGUUACCGUCUCUGGUAAAAACAUCUAACCAUAUGCCAGAUUCGUUGAUUCAGGCUACAAAAGUACCUGUUAAAGAGUAUGAGUUUGAUGAAAAGAAGAUGGCAAAUGUGCAGUCUCAUCUGGAAAAAUUGGUUGCCAAUAACUAUUACUUGAACAGGUCUCCAAAAGAUGCGUACAGAUAAAUAUAUUAUUCAUGAAGUGAAGGCAAGAAUAGUUGAAUGGUAUAUGAUUAUGAACAGGGGCAAAUGCGUAAAACAAAUUAUGAUUCUUUUUAUUAUGGAUGGUGCACAGGACAAGGGCAGGCUGGUCAAGACUGGAAGCUUUACACAUUCAUAUCCAUUUUGGUGAAGAUCUGAUACCCCUCUUAUCUACAGAGCAGUUCCCAUGAUGAGCAGUUGCUUGAAGCAGCUUGGUGUCUUACAAACAUAGCUGCUGGAAAACCUAAAGAAACAAGAGCUUAAUUGCCUGCAUUACCUUUACUCAUUGCUCAAAUUGGAGAGUUCAGUGCCUGUUGCAGAGCAGUGUGCUUAAGCAUUAGGAAAUGUUGCAGGAGAAGGUGAAGAACCGAGACAAAUUCUGAUUUCUCAAGGGGCAUUACUUCCUCUUGCAAAAAUGAUGUUGCCAAAUAAAGUUUCAGUUAACGGGUGAACCAAGUUUCUCUGAAAUGGCGACAGCAUUGUCAGGGCCUCCUUAUAUCUUUGUUUCUACUCCAGCUUGUGUCCAAAGAUGUCUUUCAUCAGGUGUUCUUCAAGCAAAAUCCGUUCAUGAUUAUCUUUCAAUUAUUAUUCUUGAUAAGGCAGAUCUUAUUUUUACAUAUGGAUAUGAAAAGAAUCUCAAAUAUCUCAAAACUCACAUUCCUAAAAGAUGUCAAUGCCUUCUCAUGGCUGCUACCUCAAGCUUGAAGAAGCUUUAUCUACACAAUCCCUAUAUUCUUACUUUAGCAGAAGUUGGUGAUGGAAAGGACGAAAUUGUCCCCAAAAAUGUUCAGCAAUUUUGGGUAAGAGCUUAAGAGCUAAAAUCUUGUAUACUUAUUUAACAAACUUAUUUUAGGGCAUUUCUUUAAUACAUUUUAUAGUUUCUUGAAUCUUUAUUUAUUUCUUUUACUUUUAUAUUUAGAUACAAUGUAGUUAUCGAGAUAAGCUUCUUUACAUUCUUGCAAUUUUGAAGUUGGAUCUUGUUCAAAAGAAAGUCUUUAUAUUUACAAAUACAAUUGACACAAGUUUUAGACUAAAACUUUGAGCAAGUAUU